rnacentral:rRNA from 1 species
GUCCAUAACGACUCUCGGCAACGGAUAUCUCGGCUCUUGCAUCGAUGAAGAACGUAGUGAAAUGCGAUACUUGGUGUGAAUUGCAGAAUCCCGUGAACCAUUGAGUCUUUGAACGCAAGUUGCGCCCGAAGCCAUUAGGCUAAGGGCACGCCUGCCUGGGUGUCACCAA